rnacentral:SRP_RNA from 1 species
UAUCGGUCCUCUCGCAAUGAGCAACUGUAAACCCCGCCAGGCCCGGAAGGGAGCAACGGUAGCAGUGACCUCAUGUGCCGGGAUGUGGCUGAUAGGG